rnacentral:rRNA from 1 species
GAUGAACGCUAGCGGCAGGCUUAACACAUGCAAGUCGAGGGGUAGGAGAAGCUUGCUUCUCUGAGACCGGCGCACGGGUGCGUAACGCGUAUGCAAUCUACCUUUCACAAAGGGAUAGCCCAGAGAAAUUUGGAUUAAUACCUUAUAGUAAUACGCCUUGGCAUCAAGAUGUAUUUAAAGAUUUAUCGGUGAAAGAUGAGCAUGCGUCCCAUUAGCUAGUUGGUAUGGUAACGGCAUACCAAGGCAACGAUGGGUAGGGGUCCUGAGAGGGAGAUCCCCCACACUGGUACUGAGACACGGACCAGACUCCUACGGGAGGCAGCAGUGAGGAAUAUUGGACAAUGGGCGCAAGCCUGAUCCAGCCAUGCCGCGUGCAGGAUGACGGUCCUAUGGAUUGUAAACUGCUUUUAUACAGGAAGAAACCCCUCUACGUGUAGAGACUUGACGGUACUGUAAGAAUAAGGAUCGGCUAACUCCGUGCCAGCAGCCGCGGUAAUACGGAGGAUCCAAGCGUUAUCCGGAAUCAUUGGGUUUAAAGGGUCCGUAGGCGGUCAGGUAAGUCAGUGGUGAAAGCCCAUCGCUCAACGGUGGAACGGCCAUUGAUACUGUCUGACUUGAAUUAUUAGGAAGUAACUAGAAUAUGUAGUGUAGCGGUGAAAUGCUUAGAGAUUACAUGGAAUACCAAUUGCGAAGGCAGGUUACUACUAAUAUAUUGACGCUGAUGGACGAAAGCGUGGGUAGCGAACAGGAUUAGAUACCCUGGUAGUCCACGCCGUAAACGAUGGAUACUAGCUGUUGGGAGCAAUCUCAGUGGCUAAGCGAAAGUGAUAAGUAUCCCACCUGGGGAGUACGAACGCAAGUUUGAAACUCAAAGGAAUUGACGGGGGCCCGCACAAGCGGUGGAGCAUGUGGUUUAAUUCGAUGAUACGCGAGGAACCUUACCAAGGCUUAAAUGUAGUUUGACCGGUUGGAAACAG